GGAAAAGCUCAACUUUAAAAUCUGGCUCUUUCAGAGUCCGAGUUGUAGUCUAGAGAAGCAACGUCCGCGCCGGACCUUGGAUAAGUCGGUUGGAAAACCGCGUCAGAGAGGGUGACAAUCCCGUUUGUACCAAGGACGCCCGUGUGCAUUGUGAUGUGCUUUCCAA
rnacentral:rRNA from 1 species